UACGUAGGGACCGAGCGUUGUCCGGAAUCAUUGGGCGUAAAGAGCGUGUAGGCGGCCACUUAAGUCCUGCGUGAAAUCUUGCGGCUCAACCGCAAGCGGUCGUGGGAAACUGGGUGGCUAGAGUGCGGGAGAGGAGAGUGGAAUUCCUGGUGUAGCGGUGGAAUGCGCAGAUAUCAGGAAGAACACCCGUGGCGAAGGCGGCUCUCUGGAACGCAAACUGACGCUGAGACGCGAAAAGCGUGGGGAGCAAACAGG
rnacentral:rRNA from 1 species